CUACGGGAGGCUGCAGUGGGGAAUAUUGCACAAUGGGCGCAAGCCUGAUGCAGCCAUGCCGCGUGUAUGAAGAAGGCCUUCGGGUUGUAAAGUACUUUCAGCGGGGAGGAAGGGAGUAAAGUUAAUACCUUUGCUCAUUGACGUUACCCGCAGAAGAAGCACCGGCUAACUCCGUGCCAGCAGCCGCGGUGAAUACGGAGGGUGCAAGCGUUAAUCGGAAUUACUGGGCGUAAAGCGCACGCAGGCGGUUUGUUAAGUCAGAUGUGAAAUCCCCGGGCUCAACCUGGGAACUGCAUCUGAUACUGGCAAGCUUGAGUCUCGUAGAGGGGGGUAGAAUUCCAGGUGUAGCGGUGAAAUGCGUAGAGAUCUGGAGGAAUACCGGUGGCGAAGGCGGCCCCCUGGACGAAGACUGACGCUCAGGUGCGAAAGCGUGGGGAGCAAACAGGAUUAGAUACCCGCGUAGUC
rnacentral:rRNA from 1 species